rnacentral:lncRNA from 1 species
UUCAGAUAAGCGCCGCUGUAUUUGCUGUAAAUAAAUGAAUAUUCCAAACAUCAAUUCUACCUAUUUGAUCGAUUUACUUGUACUGCGUUUCUUUCAUAACAUAUUCAUUAAUCAUCAGUGUAAGAGCGACAUAAACGUAGACUCAUCCAGGUAUGUCGAACACCUCGAUCGGUGUGAUGAUUCCGUGAGAAUCUUCUCUGAAAGCCGAAAAAAAUCUUAAUGGAUGACUACUUUUUUCCUCCACACAAGGAUGGGUGGGAGUAACGAAGGCACCGUGCGUAGGCACGUGAUUGUGAAAGCUGUAAGCCAAUGGAAAUGCGAGCAUUCACUUCGAAGGCGUGUCUUAUAAAAGCUCAACAAUGGAACAAGUCCGACUUUUGAAGAUCAACCCCAUUUGACGUGAGCUCGACCUACAAACUAUCAGCAUUGACUGAAGAGAGCUUGGCAUUGAAAAACUACCCUACGGUCAGCUAAGUUUAUCACUCUACGAAAGAUGAUUUCCUUGGUGUCCAAGUUUCGUUCGAGGUCACGAUUAACGCAAUUGAAACGCCCAUUGAAAGCGAAACGAUAAACCCUGAGCCCAUCAGCUGACAGUGUCAUUCUCUGAGAUCUAUACAGAUAACUGCUGAGGAAGCUUCGAGGGUGCUGAUUGGAGGGAUACCCUACUACUAUCUGCAUAAAAUUUCUGGAUGAAGGUCACAAUACUUGUGCAAUUGCAGGAGUUUUUGGCAAAGGACUUUUCGUUUGGGGAUUCCCCGGAAGAUCUGUGCCCGAAAUCUGUCGCAGUCAGCCUGAAACAUCCUGUAUAUUCAAGCAUAUGAAAAAUUACAACUGACGAUUCAAAUUCCUACCUGCACAUGUAAACUGUUCUACGUAGUAACUUCCAUUGAAGCUGCAGUCUAUCCAAUAUUUUUAUACGUAAUGGAUACGUGUAUAUCAAUUUGAUGUGUAACAUUUCUGUACGUAUAUCUAAUUUUUCAUAGACGUACAUAUCCUCUCGCUCCGAAAUUCGGCAGGAUAAUUCUGAAAGGAGAGCUUCGUAGUACAUUGUAGAAGUUUUCUUAAGGUCGAAAUUAGAACUCUGCUAACACCUGCACAGUAAAAAGAAUGAAAAACUAUCAGAAUCUAGGUCGAUAAUUAUCAAUAACAUUUAUAGUUAUAGAUCCCAGAUUGACACUGUCAGCUGAUGGGCUCAGGGUUUAUCGUUUCGCUUUCAAUGGGCGUUUCAAUUGCGUUAAUCGUGACCUACCGACAAAAGAUUGGUUGUUGAUUAGAAGAGCGUCGAUUAGAUGCAGAUGAUACAACCGAUCAAACGGAUUAGAGAAUAAUAGCGUUUUUAAGACAUACGGAGGAACGUCAAAACCGUAAAUAUCAACUGGCUAACGUCACGCCGGAUUAUAACCGACGGUGCUGACCCCCCGGCUGAACGGCGGAAUUUUUUUUUUUUCAGUUUUUUGAACAAACCGUAAUCCAACAAAUGUUUUAAUUGCUAUAUUCGUAUCCAACAAACGAUUGCGUUUCGAUUGGACUCCUUGAGAAGUGUAAAAAAUUGAAAAUAAAAAAUCAUCCGGCUAAC